AUGGCUCUGCGGCUUAUCAGGUUGUAGUGAGGGUAACGUCCUCACUAGCCUAUGACGGGUACGGGCCCUGAGAGGGGAAGCCCGGAGAUGGACUCUGAGACACGAGUCCAGGCCCUACGGGGCGCAGCAGGCGCGAAAACUCCGCAAUGCUCGAAAGAGUGACGGGGGGAUUCCAAGUGCCUACGCUCAGCGUAGGCUGUUCAGAUGCCUAAAAAGCAUCUGGAGUAAGGGCUGGGUAAGACGGGUGCCAUCUGUGGCAGCAGCCGAAAAUUUGGCUUGCUACUGCAAGGCAUAAGCCGCCGCGGUAAUACCCGCAGCUCGAGUGGUAGUCGAUUUUAUUGGGCCUAAAGCGUCCGUAUCCGGUCUGGUAAAUGCUUGGGUAAAUCGUCUGGCUUAACCAGACGAAUUCCGGGUAGACUACCAGACUUGGGACCGGUUGAGGAAGAGGGUACUUCAGGGGUAGGAGUGAAAUCCUGUAAUCCUUGAAGGACCACCAGUGGCGAAGGCGCUCUUCUAGGACGGGUCCGACGGUGAGGGACGAAAGCCAGGGGAGCAAACCGGAUUAGAUACCCGGGUAGUCCUGGCCGUAAACGAUGUGGGCUUGGCAUUGGGGGUUCUACGUGAGCGCCCAGUGUCGUAGCGAAGGCGUUAAGCCCACCGCCUGGGAAGUAUGGUCGCAA
rnacentral:rRNA from 1 species